rnacentral:tRNA from 1 species
GCGCCUGUAGCUCAGUUGGUUAGAGCAAUCCGCUCAUAACGGAUGGGUCACAGGUUCAAGUCCUGUCAGGCGCA